UACGUAGGGACCGAGCGUUGUCCGGAUUUAUUGGGCGUAAAGAGCUCGUAGGCGGCUCAGUAAGUCGGAUGUGAAAACUCGGGGCUCAACCCCGAGACGCCAUCCGAUACUGCUGUGGCUUGAGUCUGGUAGGGGAACACGGAAUUCCUGGUGUAGCGGUGAAAUGCGCAGAUAUCAGGAGGAACACCAAUUGCGAAGGCAGCUCGCUGGGACGUUACUGACGCUGAGACGCGAAAGCGUGGGGAGCAAACAGG
rnacentral:rRNA from 1 species